ACGGUACAGGGAGCUUGCUCCGCUGACGAGUGGCGAACGGGUGAGUAAUGCAUCGGAACGUGCCUAUUUGUGGGGGAUAACGUAGCGAAAGUUACGCUAAUACCGCAUACGCCCUGAGGGGGAAAGCGGGGGAUUCGUAAGAACCUCGCGCAAUUAGAGCGGCCGAUGUCGGAUUAGCUAGUUGGUGGGGUAAAGGCUCACCAAGGCGACGAUCCGUAGCGGGUCUGAGAGGAUGAUCCGCCACACUGGGACUGAGACACGGCCCAGACUCCUACGGGAGGCAGCAGUGGGGAAUUUUGGACAAUGGGGGCAACCCUGAUCCAGCCAUGCCGCGUGAGUGAAGAAGGCCUUCGGGUUGUAAAGCUCUUUCAGCCGGGAAGAAAUCACAUGGGUUAAUACCCUGUGUGGAUGACGGUACCGGAAUAAGAAGCACCGGCUAACUACGUGCCAGCAGCCGCGGUAAUACGUAGGGUGCGAGCGUUAAUCGGAAUUACUGGGCG
rnacentral:rRNA from 1 species